ensembl:lncRNA
AAAGAACCGAGGAUGGUGCCUGAGAUGGAGGACACAGGCCAUGCUGUUUUCUGAGUGGGCGGAUAUAGGACCUGGAGAGUCAAAUCGGAGACGGUCCCGUUUGUGCCGUCUAUUAUGGGAGGGACCUCAAGCUUAUGACUUCUCCAUGACGGCAGCGAGGGAUGAAAGGGCAUGAAACGUACCUACUGUGAGGGGAGAGUUGGCCUUCACAGCAGGGACAGGCAAGGGCUCUGCAAAAGGCCUACUCGGAAACGGCUCUCAGGCACAGGCUGAAGGUAUAGAGUGUGUACCGGUCAACAGGAACUCACUUUUAUUUAUUUCUGGUGCUGAAGGAUGAAGCCAUGGUCGGAGUCAGACUCGGUUAAUGCUCUACUACGGAGUUACAUCCCAGCCUGGACAAGAAAUUUUAAUAAGAUCUUUCGUGUUGCGCAAUCUGUGUCGGGAACUUACGGGUACAGCGAGGUACUUUUCCAUGGCACAGGGCCUGUUUCCAGGCACAGUAAACAGACCGUCUAUGGAAGGAUGUCGCUUGCUUGUACGACUGCAGUCCAGAUAAUCAGGUGGCCACAGGGCUUGGGAGUCCUUGGGGCAGGACACAAAGGCGACAGAUAAUGGCUUUCCUAAUUCUCUCAUUUUCCACAGAGCCUUCUGGAGCCCUAAUAAAGCCCCAUAGACCAGCACACUGACUUCAAAGAGCUGUUGUAUAAACCCGCCCUGCCUAGUCUGGAGGCUCUAACCGUCCUAGGGGGCUGCUCACCUCUCAUCUACGUCUCCCACUUCUGCCUUGUAAUAGGCCUUUGUGUAAUGUUGACCGGAGAAAAACAACUGGUGACUCACCAGCCCCUUGGGAAAUGUGUCACCCCUUCCAGGAGUUUCGCAUUAAGAAAAGAGGUCAAUAUGGAGGAACAGAAGGACUAAGGCAAAGAGAUGAUGAGGACAUUAAUAUCCCUGCCGAUGAUGACAAAGACCCUUUUUUAAAGAAAAAAAAUGACACCCUGGAAUUUUGAGAGGAGACACCCUGAAUUCCAUUUCCCCAACGUUGAUUUUCUUUGGAGUUUUGCUCAUUCCGAGAAGCUGCGGAGAAAGAAUACUGCGCUGAAUCAGACUUGGGCUUUUGUCUCCAAGAGGCUGUCCGCCUUUAAUAAAGUUACAUAACUGCCCUUUGCCUUACUUUUCCCAAGUAUAAAAUGGAGGGGUGAAGCCAGAUGAACUUUAAAAAUCUCUCAACUCCAACAGGAGGUGAUUCUGUCU